UAGGCCCUGGAGGCUUCCCAAGGCACGGGCACAUUCUGCCAGCCACCACCUGCUACCCAACCUAAACAACUGGGGCGCAUGCCUCUGCCACCUCCAGCUGCUCAGAGUUGUAUGAGCUGUCACUGUCACCGCAGCUGCGUCGGAGGAGCCAUUCCACACAAAGCUGCCCUCAAUGGGAACGGGCUGUUUUUCCCUUUGGAGUUCCCAAGUGGGUGGGAGACGUGGCUUACGCAAUGCUUAGGAACAGCAACCAGUUCUACUCCAGGCAAGGCCGCUAACUUGCUCUGUCAGCUCAUGCAGCCCUCAAUCUCGACACCUGACCCAAUUACAAUGACAACUUGAAAGUCUGCUCUUCAGUGACCCCGCACACUUGAGCAGCUGACAGGAAGUGGUCACGGAUUUCAGAGCUCGUCUACUUUCUACCUGGUGAUCUGGCCUUGAAGGACCCCACAGCUCAUGGCAGUCAUGGCAUCCACCCAGCGCAAGCCUCAGCAGACUGACCCUGUAGACGGUACAUGCCGCACUGCACUGUGCUCCUGGUCUUGGGUGGACUGAAGCUGCCACACUCUGGACACUGCAGUCCACAGUAGCUCUGUGUGACAGAAGAAAGGCUACGGGGUGCAGUGUUGGCUCAAGGGAAGGGGAGGUGUUUUGCGGACUGGGUGACAGCUGAGCCCAGCCUGAGGAUUUAACAGUGAAAGACACGAGAGGAAUGAAAGGCUGGCAUUCUGGGCAAAAGAUAAGGGACGUAAAAGUGAGCCGGGGAUUGUCUGGGGAGAGCAGGGGAAGGAGGUUUGGGCUGGAAAGCAGGUCAGAGGCAACUGAUGAGCAGGCUAUUAGUUCAGGAAGAUCGGUGUCACAGUGGCCACACCUGGGGAGCCUUGAAUGACAAAAUGUGGACUAGAAGGUAAUGAUUUGCUGGUGGAGCCUCCUCAGCAGAAGUAGCCCUGGCAGCAGAACAAAGUGUGUGUGUGGGGGGGGGGGACACGACUCUGGAACCCUGCCAGGAUGAUCGACAGUAGCAAAUUCGAAGGCCAGUGGCAUACCAGCUCUGCUUAGCCUGACUGGCACCAUGUCUACAACCAACCCUGUUAGCACCCAUUUUACAGAGACGGUGAAGUGUGCGGCAGGGAGGACAUGCAUGCAGUGGAGACAAUCUGGUCGGCCUGGCUCGGUGCUAGCACUGUGACUCCAAGACUGGCCUCCCUUGACCCCUGUGCCCUGUAUACUAGACUCCUACUAUGUGAACCAAGCAGCAAGACAAAGUGGGGAAUAACUGAACAGAUAGAGAGAUUUCUCUGCAACCCAGCAACAAAACAGACAACAAAACGACAGCGACAAGGGUUUAAAGUUCUCCUCAGGACACACGCAUUGAGUGCUGCCACAAACAGCCCGUACAGAAACUGACUGACUCCGUGUCUAAUAGCUCAAGUACAAGCAAGCUGUACACCUGACAGAGGGCGAUCGGACUGGUUUAGGUCAAGCUGUCCCCUCCACAGUUCCCUUUAAGUCCUAACUCCUAAGAAGGCAGCCAUAUUAAACCGCGUCACUGCAGAUAUAACUGGGUAAAAAGAGAGCCGGGUGGACGCCAUGUGACUGCCCUUCCUACAGAAGGGAAACAUGGGAAGGGGAAGGGAGGCAGAGACUGACUGCGCAGCAGGAGCCACAGAACACCAGCAGCUCCGGCAAACCACCAAAAUGCAGACUCUCCCAUCCGUCCUUGGAAGGACUCACUCUACUGAUACUCUGCUUUGGACUUCCUGUCUCCCAAUAAGUCUCUAUGCAAGCGCCCAAUCUGUGGGUCUUGUACAAUGGCUACGUGUGGGGAGCCGAGACUCAGAUGCCACUAGCUGGCGCUGACAUCUCGCCCUCAAAACUUAAACCUUCAGGGUGCACGCGCAGAUGCGUAUACACGCUAAAGAUUGCGUGAGCACGCUAAGGAUUGCGUAGGCACGCCGGUAAGAGUGAGCAGCCAACCAGGGUAUUGACACGUCACAAGGCCGCUAGCAUAAUGGUCCUAGUCAUCAGGCGGGGUAAAAGUAAGCAGCCAGUCAGGGUAUUCACACGUCACUCAGGUGCGACCCCAGCUUAUAUAAACAGCGCCACAUCGGGGGUCUCUCUCUCUCCCCUCUUCAUCGCGUGACUAAUAAAGUUUACUGCGGAAGGAUUCCUGUGGUCGCGUGCGUUUCUGCCGGCGAAACAUUCACGCGGCGGCUCCCAACAUCUGGUGCUGAAACCCGGGAACAUUGCUGGGAAAAAAACAAUCCAUUCUGGGUACCGGAGCGCCUCACGCGAAAGCUCGUGACAGCUAAAGAUGAUCUUCCAACAGACACACCUGCUACUGCUAAAAGAAUCAAAGACAGCGAGGAGGACCACUAAUUCUACUCGAGUGGAUUCAUUGCCCACAGACUGGCUUUACCCUGGGUUUCUUCUGCCUUUUCUUACUUCAGAUUGGGUGGGGGUCGGAAUGUUUGGUGUAGCAUUGUGUCGUGGCUUAGUGUUUUUUACUCUGGUUGUUCUGCAAACUCUAUACCCAAAACAAACGUGACUAGGUCGCAAUCGCGCAAGCACUAGCACCCUUGGAACAAGGAUCGUCUCCCAAAAAUUUGGUUAUCCAUGUUAAAAAAUUAAAACAGACUGUGACACUCAGUCGAUGCACCUCAGGGGUUUCACCCAUUGCACUGAGUCGAUGAGUGAUCCAGGUUAAUGUUGCCUUUGCCUAAACGGUUAUGGUACCUAGACAGGAGGGUGACAGCUCUUGCACUCCCUGGAAUUUUAUUCCAUUGCACGGGAAUGAGUGUCACCUCCUUUCUGAGAUGUGGUACCUAGACAGGAGGGUGACAGCUCUUGCACUCCCUGGAAUUUUAUUCCAUUGCACGGGAAUGAGUGUCACCUCCUUUUAAAAAUCUUCUCCCCUAGCCCCUGCACCCAGAGGACUUGUUUCCAUUGCACCUGGUGGGGUAAGGGAGUAAUCUAAAGCUUUUGAUCGCUUACUCCCCAAAGAAGGAGUUUGCUUGAUCGAGCUUAGGGCCCUCUUGUACCGUGCUCAUAGGCUUUUAGGCAGUUUUCAUUUAUUUAUUUAUAACAAAAAGGGAGAUGUGGGGAGCCGAGACUCAGAUGCCACUAGCUGGCGCUGACAUCUCGCCCUCAAAACUUAAACCUUCAGGGUGCACGCGCAGAUGCGUAUACACGCUAAAGAUUGCGUGAGCACGCUAAGGAUUGCGUAGGCACGCCGGUAAGAGUGAGCAGCCAACCAGGGUAUUGACACGUCACAAGGCCGCUAGCAUAAUGGUCCUAGUCAUCAGGCGGGGUAAAAGUAAGCAGCCAGUCAGGGUAUUCACACGUCACUCAGGUGCGACCCCAGCUUAUAUAAACAGCGCCACAUCGGGGGUCUCUCUCUCUCCCCUCUUCAUCGCGUGACUAAUAAAGUUUACUGCGGAAGGA